CCCUUAGAUGUUCUGGGCUGCACGCGCGUUACACUGAGUGGAUCACCGAGUACCACACCUUGGCUGAGAGGCCUGGGUAAUCUUGGGAAACCCACUCGUGCUGGGGAUAGAUUAUUGUAAUUAUUAAUCUUCAACGAGGAAUUCCUAGUAAGCGUGCGUCAACAGCGCGCGUUGAUUACGUCCCUGCCCUUUGUACACACCGCCCGUCGCUCCUACCGAUUGAAUGAUCCGGUGAAAUCCUCGGAUUGUGGCUCAUGGCCUGUGGGUUCGCUUGCAGGUCGGGACACGAGAAGUUGCUUAAACCUUAUCAUUUAGAGGAAGGAGAAGUCGUAACA
rnacentral:rRNA from 1 species